GACGAACGCUGGCGGCGUGCCUAAUACAUGCAAGUUGAGCGCUGAAGGUUGGUACUUGUACCAACUGGAUGAGCAGCGAACGGGUGAGUAACGCGUGGGGAAUCUGCCUUUGAGCGGGGGACAACAUUUGGAAACGAAUGCUAAUACCGCAUAAAAACUUUAAACACAAGUUUUAAGUUUGAAAGAUGCAAUUGCAUCACUCAAAGAUGAUCCCGCGUUGUAUUAGCUAGUUGGUGAGGUAAAGGCUCACCAAGGCGAUGAUACAUAGCCGACCUGAGAGGGUGAUCGGCCACAGUGGGACUGAGACACGGCCCAAACCCCUAUGGGAGGCAGCAGUAGGGAAUCUUCGGCAAUGGACGAAAGUCUGACCGAGCAACGCCGCGUGAGUGAAGAAGGUUUUCGGAUCGUAAAACUCUGUUGGUAGAGAAGAACGUUGGUGAGAGUGGAAAGCUCAUCAAGUGACGGUAACUACCCAGAAAGGGACGGCUAACUACGUG
rnacentral:rRNA from 1 species